rnacentral:rRNA from 1 species
CCUACGGGCGGCAGCAGUGAGGAAUAUUGGUCAAUGGACGAGAGUCUGAACCAGCCAAGUAGCGCGAAGGAUGACUGCCCUAUGGGUUGUAAACUUCUUUUAUAUGGGAAUAAAAUGUUCCACGUGUGGGAUUUUGUAUGUACCAUAUGAAUAAGGAUCGGCUAACUCCGUGCCAGCAGCCGCGGUAAUACGGAGGAUCCGAGCGUUAUCCGGAUUUAUUGGGUUUAAAGGGAGCGUAGGUGGAUUGUUAAGUCAGUUGUGAAAGUUUGCGGCUCAACCGUAAAAUUGCAGUUGAAACUGGCAGUCUUGAGUACAGUAGAGGUGGGCGGAAUUCGUGGUGUAGCGGUGAAAUGCUUAGAUAUCACGAAGAACUCCGAUUGCGAAGGCAGUUCACUGGACUGCAACUGACACUGAGGCUCGAAAGUGUGGGUAUCAAACAGGAUUAGAUACCCCUGUAGUC